AGAGUUUGAUCCUGGCUCAGAUUGAACGCUGGCGGAAUGCUUUACACAUGCAAGUCGAACGGCAGCACGGGAGCUUGCUCCUGGUGGCGAGUGGCGAACGGGUGAGUAAUAUAUCGGAACGUACCCCGUCGUGGGGGAUAACUCUCCGAAAGGAGUGCUAAUACCGCAUACGACCUGAGGGUGAAAGCGGGGACCUGCAAGGGCCUCGCGCGAUGGGAGCGGCCGAUAUCGGAUUAGCUAGUUGGUGAGGUAAAGGCUCACCAAGGCGACGAUCCGUAGCGGGUCUGAGAGGACGACCCGCCACACUGGAACUGAGACACGGUCCAGACUCCUACGGGAGGCAGCAGUGGGGAAUUUUGGACAAUGGGGGAAACCCUGAUCCAGCCAUUCCGCGUGAGUGAAGAAGGCCUUCGGGUUGUAAAGCUCUUUCAGCAGGAACGAAACGGUAGGCUUUAAUACAGUCUGCUAAUGACGGUACCUGCAGAAGAAGCACCGGCUAACUACGUG
rnacentral:rRNA from 1 species